AGCGAACGCUGGCGGCAGGCCUAACACAUGCAAGUCGAACGAACUCUUCGGAGUUAGUGGCGGACGGGUGAGUAACACGUGGGAACGUGCCUUUUGGUUCGGAAUAACUCAGGGAAACUUGUGCUAAUACCGAAUGUGCCCUUCGGGGGAAAGAUUUAUCGCCAUUAGAGCGGCCCACGUCUGAUUAGCUAGUUGGUGAGGUAACGGCUCACCAAGGCGACGAUCAGUAGCUGGUCUGAGAGGAUGACCAGCCACACUGGGACUGAGACACGGCCCAGACUCCUACGGGAGGCAGCAGUGGGGAAUCUUGCGCAAUGGGCGAAAGCCUGACGCAGCCAUGCCGCGUGAAUGAUGAAGGUCUUAGGAUUGUAAAAUUCUUUCACCGGGGACGAUAAUGACGGUACCCGGAGAAGAAGCCCCGGCUAACUUCGUG
rnacentral:rRNA from 1 species